GACGAACGCUGGCGGCGUGCUUAACACAUGCAAGUCGAACGGAAAGGCCCUGCUUUUGUGGGGUGCUCGAGUGGCGAACGGGUGAGUAACACGUGAGUAACCUGCCCUUGACUUUGGGAUAACUUCAGGAAACUGGGGCUAAUACCGGAUAGGAGCUCCUGCUGCAUGGUGGGGGUUGGAAAGUUUCGGCGGUUGGGGAUGGACUCGCGGCUUAUCAGCUUGUUGGUGGGGUAGUGGCUUACCAAGGCUUUGACGGGUAGCCGGCCUGAGAGGGUGACCGGCCACAUUGGGACUGAGAUAGGGCCCAGACUCCUACGGGGGGCAGCAGGGGGAAAUAUUGCACAAGGGGGGGAAGCCUGAUGCAGCAACGCCGGGUGCGGGAUGACGGCCUUCGGGUUGUAAACCGCUUUCGCCUGUGACGAAGCGGGAGUGACGGUAAUGGGUAAAGAAGCACCGGCUAACUACGUG
rnacentral:rRNA from 1 species